rnacentral:lncRNA from 1 species
GGCAAUGCUACCCUCAAUCUGAUUUCAGCAGAAGGUACGCGGCGGAUUCCUCUAAAUGAACAUUUUCUUGCUGGGUUGGCAAGUGCAGACCUUAAGCCAGAGGAAAUUUUGGAAUCUGUGCAUAUCCCGCACUCUCAAAAGUGGGAAUUUGUGUCAGCCUUCCGACAGGCUCAAUGCCAGCAGAAUGCCUUGCCCCACGUGAAUGCCGGCAUGCGAGUCCUUCUCAAAGAAGGCACAGACAGCAUUGAGGACCUGAGCAUCGCCUAUGGAGGGGUGGGGGCUGCCACCAUCAGUGCACACAGAUCCUGCUAGCAACUCCUUGGGAGGUGCUGGAAUGAGCUGUUGCUGGAUGAGGCUUGCAGGCUGCUUCUGGAUGAAGUCUCGCUCCCAGGCUCAGCCCCGGGUGGCCGGGUGGAAUUCAAGAGGAUGAGGACCCUAGUCGUCAGCUUCCUCUUCAAAUUCUACUUAGAGGUUCUGCAGGAACUGAAGAAGCUGGUGAAGCUAGUCUCUGUGCCUGACAGCCGUCAUCAUUCUGAAAUUUCAGACCAAUUCCUAAGCGCUCUCGAAGAUUUCCCAGUCACAAUACCCCAGGGAGUCCAAACGUACCAGAGUGUGGAUCCUCACCAGCCUCUCCAAGACCCAGUUGGACACCCUAUCAUGCACCUGUCAGCUCUUAAACAUGCCACUGGGGAAGCCAUGUUUUGUGAUGACAUUCCCAUGGUGGAUAAAGAACUUUUCAUGGCUUUGGUGACCAGUAGCAGGGCUCAUGCAAAAAUCAUAUCAAUUGAUGUGUCCAAGGCCCUUGAACUACCCGAAGUGGUUGAUGUGAUAACAGCUGAAGACAUUCCAGGCACCAAUGGCGCUGAAGGUGACAAAUUGCUGGCUGUAGAUAAGGUAGUCUGUGUGGGCCAGAUCAUCUGUGCUGUGGUUGCAGAAACAGACGUACAGGCAAAACGAGCAGCUGAAAAGAUAAAGCUCACCUAUGAAGAUCUGGAACCUGUAAUCUUCACGAUCAAGGAUGCCAUAAAACACAAUUCAUUCCUGUGCCGUGAAAAAAAAACUUGAAAAAGGAAACGUUGAGGAGGCCUUUGAAAAAGUCGACCAAAUUGUUGAAGGUGAGCUCCCAGGGAUACUUAAUAGACUCUGCCUGAUUCUAUUCUGAAGCAACCAUCAAAAGUGUAUGAUUUCCCCUCAGAAAGUCCAGCCUCUAAAGUCUUGGUGCUUUGCCAAAUUUCUCUUACAUCUCUUCCUUUCAAAUUGUGUGUGUGUGUGUGUGUGUGUGUGUGUGUGU